rnacentral:rRNA from 1 species
AGAGCGAACGCUGGCGGCAGGCCUAACACAUGCAAGUCGAGCGCCCCGCAAGGGGAGCGGCAGACGGGAGAGUAACACGUGGGAACGUACCCUUCAGUUCGGAACAACCCAGGGAAACUUGGGCUAAUACCGAAUACGUCCGUAAGGAGAAAGAUUUAUCGCUGAAGGAUCGGCCCGCGUCUGAUUAGCUUGUUGGUGAGGUAACGGCUCACCAAGGCGACGAUCAGUAGCUGGUCUGAGAGGAUGAUCAGCCUCACUGGGACUGAGACACGGCCCAGACUCCUACGGGAGGCAGCAGUGGGGAAUAUUGGACAAUGGGCGCAAGCCUGAUCCAGCCAUGCCGCGUGGGUGAUGAAGGCCCUAGGGUUGUAAAGCCCUUUCGGCGGGGAAGAUAAUGACGGUACCCGCAGAAGAAGCCCGGCUAACUCGUGCCAGCAGCCGC